UACAGAGGGUGCGAGCGUUAAUCGGAAUGACUGGGCGUAAAGGGUGUGUAGGUGGUUUAAUAAGUUAGGUGUGAAAGUCCUGGGCUUAACCUGGGGAGGUCGCUUAAGACUGUUAAGCUAGAGUACUGUAGAGGAAAGUGGAAUUUCCGGUGUAGCAGUGAAAUGCGUAGAUAUCAGGAGGAACACCAGCGGUGUAGACGGCUUUCUGGACCAUUGCUGACGCUGAGACACGAAAGCGUGGGUAGCAAACAGG
rnacentral:rRNA from 1 species